CGGGCCUUUACAUCAUGACAUAGGUGACAUUAAGGACUUACUCUUUACUUGCAUACUUUACAUGUAGCUUAAAUUGUCAGGCACUCGAUCAGUCCUUUACCAAAGUCAUUUGAACAGUUUAUCAAACACAUUUUAUGAAAUUUGAUGUAAUGCAACUGAAAUAUAAUACUGUCCAAAAGCCAUGUAUGACUUUGUAAUAUAUAACUUCACUUAACAUGAUUAACUUCACCUGUUCCUUUAAAAUCAGGAUUAAGGGAAAAACAAUCAGUCAACAAGAGUUCAAUUCACAUAAACAUGAAUCACAAUAGUGUAAAUUUCCCAUUAAAACCAGAAAAUUAAUGGAUGGAAUUUUUUCAUUUAAAUUUUUAUAAGUUUUUUGGUGCAUAUAAACUUUCAGUUAAUUAGAAUGCUAUUACUUUAUUUUUUUAAGAAACUCAUUCUAUAGGCUGAAGAAAACAUUUUAGAUUAUAUUUUCUUUUAGGCAUGCUAU
rnacentral:lncRNA from 1 species